GAAGACGGUGCGCUAACCCGACCAAGGGGAGGCAGCCGGCCGACGGUAGGGUCGAGGCGACUGGGGUG
rnacentral:rRNA from 1 species